rnacentral:rRNA from 1 species
AUGUAAUCGGUAGCGUGAGUUGUAGGCUUUGCCUGCUAUCUCUUACCCAUGUCUUUUAAGUACCUUACGUUUCCUCGGCGGGUCCGCCCGCCGAUUGGACAAUUUAAACCAUUUGCAGUUGCAAUCAGCGUCUGAAAAAACUUAAUAGUUACAACUUUCAACAACGGAUCUCUUGGUUCUGGCAUCGAUGAAGAACGCAGCGAAAUGCGAUAAGUAGUGUGAAUUGCAGAAUUCAGUGAAUCAUCGAAUCUUUGAACGCACAUUGCGCCCCUUGGUAUUCCAUGGGGCAUGCCUGUUCGAGCGUCAUUUGUACCUUCAAGCUCUGCUUGGUGUUGGGUGUUUGUCUCGCCUCUGCGUGUAGACUCGCCUCAAAACAAUUGGCAGCCGGCGUAUUGAUUUCGGAGCGCAGUACAUCUCGCGCUUUGCACUCAUAACGACGACGUCCAAAAGUACAUUUUUACACUCUUGACCUCGGAUCAGGUAGGGAUACCCGCUGAACUUAAGCAUAUCAAUAAGCGGAGGAA